GACGAACGCUGGCGGCGUGCUUAACACAUGCAAGUCGAACGGUGAAGCGCUUGCCUUUUUGGUGGGUGUGGAUGAGUUGCGAACGGGUGAGUAACACGUGAGUAACCUGCCCUCUUCUUCUGGAUAACCUCAUGAAAGUGACGCUAAUACGGGGUAUUCCGUGCCUGUCGCAUGGCGGGUUUGUGAAAGAUUGCGCCUUUGGGUGUGUUCGGUGGGGGUUGGGCUCGGGGCCUAUUAGCUUGUGGGUGGGGUGAUGGCCUAGCAAGGCGGUGACGGGUAGCCGGACUGGGAGAGUGGACGGACACACAGGGAGUGAGGCACGGCACUGACUCGGGCGGGAGGCAGCGGUGAUGAAGAUUGAAGAGUGGGAGCAAGCCUGAUGCAGCGAGGCCGCGUGAGGGAUGGCGGCCGUCGGGUUGUGAAUCUCUUUCGGAAGUGAAGCAGGCCUGCUACUGUGUGGGUGGGUUGACGGUAGCUGGAUAAGAAGCGCCGGCUAACUACGUG
rnacentral:rRNA from 1 species